CCCUUAGAUGUUCUGGGCCGCACGCGCGCUACACUGAUGAACGCAACGAGACCACCUGUACCGAAAGGCAUGGGUAAACUUGUGAAAGUUCAUCGUGAUGGGGAUAGAUUAUUGCAAUUAUUAAUCUUCAACGAGGAAUUCCUAGUAAGCGCGAGUCAUCAGCUCGCGUUGAUUACGUCCCUGCCCUUUGUACACACCGCCCGUCGCUCCUACCGAUUGAAUGGUCCGGUGAAAUCUUCGGAUUGCUGGAUAGGACUUCAUUGACCUAUCUGCGAGAAGUUGCUUGAACCUUNUNAUUUAUNGGAAGGAGAANUCGUANCA
rnacentral:rRNA from 1 species